GCUCGUGUAGCUCAGUUGGCUAGAGCGUUCGAUUCACAUUCGAAAGGUCCGUGGUUCAAGUCCACGCACGAGCA
rnacentral:tRNA from 1 species